ensembl:lncRNA
GCUUCAGUCGCCGUCAGGAACAUAAAGUACAAGAGGGCAGCGAACAGAACUGGACCCUAUUUCUCUACAGAAGAGCAAAGUACACUGAAGGCGUUUUAGAGGGAAAACACGUUUUCCGUAAGAGUUUAAUUGACAGCUGGUUCAAAAAGGAAAUACUUAGUGUAUAAAUAACAGGUCUGGCAUUAGGAUCCGGUGAGGGCCACAGACCCGAUUGAUGGAUCUGACACUGGUAUCACAGGAAUUAGCCGGCAGAGUUGAUUGAACAGUAGAUAAGCGGCGGACUACAGGAAGUGAUCACUAUCCAAUAUGUAGACAUGUAACGGGACGGGGAGGGUGGACACUGGGGUAAAUAUAGGGCAGUAACUGAAAACAGAUUAAAAGAAGUCAACAGAAAUCAUCAAAUUGACAGACUUCAUUCAGAAAGAAAUCAAAUGGAAAUUUAAAAAAAGAACUUUGUACCAUGGUGGACACUGGAAUGUAACAAUGCAAUGAGAAAUCAAAAGAAGUAUGAAUAAUAAAAUAAUAAGUAGGAAGGAAAAAGGAGCUUAGAUUUGAAAAGCGAAUGGAUUACAAAACAAAAACCUUUUGAAAUAUAGUCUAACUGGAUGAGCCGCUCACCCUCGCAGACCUGGACCUGUCAGUAACACACCCUCAGAACACGCGGGAGGCUGGAUUCUGUUGGAUAAACCGAGUUAAACGAUCAGACGUUAGUUUAUACGUAUCGAUUGAGUGAUGUUGAUGCGCCUGGUUCCCUCAUUCCUGCUAAGCUUGCUCUUUGCACCUCCUUUUUUAUUUUGUAUUUUAUAUCUUAUUUUGUUUUAAAUUCUAUUGUUAAUUUAAUUGUACAUUAUUCUCUUUUGUUCCAUGUAUGCACCACCCAGCAUGACAAUUUCCUUGUAUGUCCAAUAAAAGACAUUUUGUUAGCGUUGUACAACAAGUGGAAAGAAUCCGCGGUUUUCUGACAUCACAUGUGGGCACAAUAAUGGAAAAAUGAGGACAUACUAUUCAGAAUAAAAAGAAAUACUAAAAUAUCAAAGUGGAAAAGGGCAGAAGCAC